rnacentral:rRNA from 1 species
AACGCGAAGAACCUUACCAAGGCUUGACAUACACCGGAAAACUCUGGAGACAGGGUCCCCCUUGUGGUCGGUGUACAGGUGGUGCAUGGCUGUCGUCAGCUCGUGUCGUGAGAUGUUGGGUUAAGUCCCGCAACGAGCGCAACCCUUGUUCUGUGUUGCCAGCAUGCCCUUCGGGGUGAUGGGGACUCACAGGAGACUGCCGGGGUCAACUCGGAGGAAGGUGGGGACGACGUCAAGUCAUCAUGCCCCUUAUGUCUUGGGCUGCACACGUGCUACAAUGGCCGGUACAAUGAGCUGCGAUGCCGUGAGGCGGAGCGAAUCUCAAAAAGCCGGUCUCAGUUCGGAUUGGGGUCUGCAACUCGACCCCAUGAAGUCGGAGUUGCUAGUAAUCGCAGAUCAGCAUUGCUGCGGUGAAUACGUUCCCGGGCCUUGUACACACCG